CCACUCAAAAGUUAUUCUGAAAUUAAUUCUUCUUAUCCAUUACACAACAACCCCUAAAUACUGCAUAUGUAAUGCAGGAAGCUCAUAAAAACAUUAGACUGACAGUUUUUUUAUUUAUUUAUUCAAGAAAAGAUACUAUAUGUGGUACAAUGUUCAGAAAAAAUGUUCUCCCUAACCCUCAAAAAUAUCAAGUCUAUUCCUUUUGCCACAAAGGCAUUUAAGCACAAUGCAUUUAAGGCAUUUAAUUCUAGAAGUAAAAUCGCCGUUCUACAACAAUGUUCAGAAAAAUGCACUACCCUAGGCCUCAAAAAUAUCGAAUCUAAUUCUUUUGCCACUCAGAAAUAUCUAAUCCCUUUGCCACAAAGGCACUUAAGGAUAAUCCAUUUGCCACAAAGGCACUUAAGGAAAAUCCUUUUGCCACAAAGGCAUUUAAGGAUAAUCCUUCACUUAAGGAUAAAGGUAGAAGUAACAUUGCCGGACACUCAUGAUUCAUUGGGAUUUUCCAUCGUGUUUUCUUGCUGGUUGGGAUUUUCUACUUCUUGCUGGAUUUCCUGAAUUUCCUAAAAACAAAGAGAAUUUUUUUUCAAAAUGGGGAUAAUUAAAAAUUUCAGAACAGAGAAUAAUUCAAAAUUAAGGCAAAAACACAACUCAAACACUCCAUACAUCAUUGGAAUUUUCCAUCGUGUUUUCUUGCUGGAUUUCCUGAAAACAAAGAGAAAAAAAUUUCAGAACAGGGGAUAAUUCAAAAUUAAGGCAAAUUAGAACAAGGGAUAAUUAAAAAUUAAGGCAAAAACAUAACUCAAACACUCCAUACAUCAUUGGGAUUUUCCAUCGUGUUUUCUUGUUGGUUGGGAUUUUCUUCUACUUCUUGUUGAAUUUCCUGAAAACAAAGAGAGAGAAAUUUCAGAACAGGGGAUAAUUCAAAAUUAAGUCAAAAACACAACUCAAACACUCCAUACAUCAUUGGAGACUAAAGCUUCAUGCGGCACUUGACAACUUACUCACUACUCUCCAAGGUCUUUGAAACUAAGAUCGCUAGAAAGACUUAAAGCGGCACUUGACAACUUAUUCACUAAUCUUCCAAGGUCUUGAAGAGUUAAAAAGUUUUGGAGGAAGGUUUUGUAUUUAC
rnacentral:lncRNA from 1 species